AGGGGUAUGGCUCAGUGGUAGAAUGCAAGCCUAGCAUGCAUGAGGUCCUGGGUUCAAUCCCCAGUCUCUCCA
rnacentral:tRNA from 1 species